rnacentral:rRNA from 1 species
UUACGGGAAKCCCUCAGUAGMGGCGAGCGMACAGGGAYUAGCMCAGCACUGAAUCCCGCGGCCGUCUCGGUCGNCCGGGAAAUGUAGUGUUAGGGAGGGUCCGCCAUCCCGCGGUCGCGCGACGCGUCUAAGUCCUUCUUGAACGGGGCCACUUACCCAUAGAGGGUGCCAGGCCCGUAGUGACUGUCGCCGGCAACGGGAGGAUCUCUCCUCAGAGUCGGGUUGCUUGAGAGUGCAGCCCUAAGUGGGUGGUAAACUCCAUCUAAGGCUAAAUAUAACCACGAGACCGAUAGCGAACAAGUACCGUGAGGGAAAGUUGAAAAGAACUUUGAAGAGAGAGUUCAAUAGUACGUGAAACCGUUCAGGUGUAAACCUGAGAAACCCGAAAGGUCGAAUGGGAGAUUCAGCGCGUUUCGACGCUUGCGAGCGGUGCUCGCGUGACGSACGGCGUUCGCGCCGGUCGCACCUUCCGGCGACGACUCGCGGCGAACGCGUGCACUUCUMCCCUAGUAGGACGUCGCGACCCGWUGNGCGCCGGUCUAAGGGCACNGGUGGAGACCGGRCGGCGCUUCGGCGUUCCCGCUCGGACCCGCAGUUYCCGGCCGGCUCGCUCGACGGUACGACAGUGGUGCGGGGCCGCGAUUUUUUCGCGUCCGGCCCGUCGCAAGUGCGGACGGUAAUCUGGAUGUCGGACCUAGCGCCGACUCCGGAACCCGCCCUGCUGCUGGCGGCGGUGUCCUCGGACAGACCCCGAUACGCCGGUCGGCGACGCUUUAGCUUUGGGUACUUUCAGGACCCGUCUUGNAAACACGGACCAAGGAGUCUAGCAUGUGCGCNGAGUCAUUGGGACUUAGCGAAANCCUAAAGGNCGUAAUGAAANGUGAAGGMCGCCUUGCGCGCGCCUAGGGAGGAUGCGCCUUGCUUCGGCUCGGCGCCGCACUCCCGGGGCGUCUCGUGCUCAUCGCGAGCUGAGGCGCACCCAGAGCGUACACGCUGGGACCCGAAAGAUGGUGAACUAU